AGGAAAAUAAGGAGCCCUGAUUUCUUCAUCUGGCCGUGUCCUUCAUUCUCCUGCCAGGAUUCGGGAGAACCACAAGGGAUGUUGGCUGCCUUGGAUACACAGGAGGAUGCUGAAAUCCCUCCAACCCUUCCGUCUUCCCGACAAACUUCAAGAGUUCUCAUUUCUUAUACCAGCCAUGUGGGAAACUGACAAGUUACAUUCCCAUCUGCCCAAACAGUUGAAGUCAUGUUGUCUUUAAGCCCGUAGCUCACCUUGCCGUGGGCACAAGCCCCUCAGCCACGCAGCUGAAGAAAGAAACAGACAUUGUAACCGGGGUAUGAACAGCAGUAGAAACAGACCAAGAGGAUCUAACAGCAAGAAUCCGAGAAAGACAGGUGACUGUUUCCUUUUCACUAUCUUUCUAUGUGGAAAGUUCAGUCCUCGGCCCAGGAAGAGGGGUUUGUGGAUGACUUCCCAUGAAUCACUUUAACCUACCUUAUCUCUGGCUUCUGUAAUAGUAUGCUUUGGAACUGCACGAUUCUUGGGACCAGGGCCUCUUGUUUAUCUUAAAUCAGUGUGAAGGUUGUUUUUUUAAAAAUCUAAGUAUACUUUUGUUUGGAAAUAGAUGUCUAACACAUAUCCUGAUUUAAAAAGUAAAAGUAAAUAGUCAGUGGAAUAGGUUCUUGCUGGGCAACCUGUGCGGAGGUGUAAAGAAGCGGACACACAUCACAGAGUUGUUCUGUGACACGUAUGCCAGAGCACAUAGACAUACAAUGUUAAAAAAUAUAAUAGAUCUAUGAACCAUAUGAGUCCUGGAUAUUUUCCCCGAAGACUCCAAGCCAACAUAUCACAGAUACGCAUGCAUGUGUUCAUUACCUCACUGUUUGCAGUUCCUGUUCUAUGGGAAAGACCUCCAUGUUCUUAAGUAGAGAAGUAAAGAACACCUGGUUUGGAUUUUGUAAUUUUCCAAGCCACAGAGAGAAAGAAGUUAGGACACCUGUGGAAACAUGGAAACAGCUGGAGACUGUCAUACUAAGUGACUGGGUUGAGGAUUGAAUUCUCCACGUAGAAAAAUAGUGAAAAGGAAAUGGUCACCUGUCUUUUUCGGAUACUUGCUGUUAGGUUGUCUUGGUCUGUUUCUACCACCAUUCAUACCCCAGUUACAAUGUCUGUUUCUUUCUUCAUCUGGUGGCUAGGGAGCUCAUGCCCAUAGCAAGGUGAGCGACAGGCUUAAAGACAUGACAUACUAAGUGGUCAGGAAGACCAUUGUCAUGUACUUCCUCUCAUUCAUGGUUCCUGGGUUUUAUAUAGAUACCAAAAAUACAUAAGAACCCAUGAAGAAAAUAUAUAAAUUAUUAUCUCCUCAGAUAUACAGGUAUCAACAACUGCAUCAACUCUGCUCUUCCAGUUAUAAGAAGCCUGAUGUCUGACAUUGAGUCAGUAGGUCUUGGGGUCCUAGCCAUUCUUCAAGGGUAUAGUAAGGCCUGGUGAAGAUUGUCUAUAUAUCAAUAUAUUAUUUACCCAGAGGAUCACUCUGAGGGCUUCUCUUUUACUUUAUUAUUUCUUGAAAGAGCACAGUUUACUGUGUGUCUCAGCAUAAAGGACUGGGCAAGGAUUAAUUUUCUUCCAGUAUUGCCUGUUUGGCAUAAUUCUGAGUACAUGUAUUCUCGGGUGAAUAACAGUUUUACCUAAGUGUUUUAAUUAUAGAAAUCUACCAAACUGAGAGUACUUAGUACUCCCAAGGCUGUUCCGAUUUUCAAAUCUCAUGAAGACCAUUUUCUGGCUGCUCCCCUGUGCUUCUUGACCAAUCUAAAUACCUCCUCUCUCCUCCAUCUUUCCAUCAUGAUGAGACGCUUCCCGAAGCAGCAUCUGGCCAGGAUGAAUUCUUAGUUCAACUGGCCUUUACCACAGAGGAGCAAACUUUGCAGAGCUGUGGUUCUAUACUUGUGGUGAAAUUGGAGCCUAAGGACUUUUCUGGGGAUUGGGAGCUGACAGUGGGCUUAUAAAUCUGACGCAAUCUUGAGAGGAAGCAGCGUGGCUCUCCACCAUCGUGAGCCCGGAGAUUGUUCUGGACCCCACUGCAGGAUACUGCUGAGAUGAGCGGCAGGUUUUGUUCCAAGUUCAUAACUUACUCAAGAUACAUCUAACUGAUUUACUGCUGAAGACAGCUCUCUGAGGAUAAUUCAAGUGGGAUCACAUCUUCUCUCAGCUAUCUGGGAUUGUCUAAGUUUUGCUGGUGGGGGGUAGUAAACCAAGGAUUAUUAUACAUCACUGGUAAUAAUAAAAUAAAAUUCUCUUUUCAGAAUACAACCAGACAUACACAGUGGCACCUAAGAGGGUCUUCAUACACUCCCAUAAAAGAUGGGUGAGGGUGUAGCUACAGAAAAAUCAUGUUGUUGAUUUGACUGCAACCAUAGGAACUAAUCUCUGGAUGCUUCUUUGAGGGAUGGUACAGAUUAGGUUAAUUGAGAAAGGGAGAUCCACCCUAACUGGGAGAAGCAGGGUUCCAUAACUGUGCUCCUCUACUGAAGGAGAAGGAGAAAUAAAGUUAAACACCAGCAUCAGGCUCAUUAAGUUGCCCUAUCCAAUUAUUCUGUUAUGUCUGUAGGACAAGGGGCCGACACAUCUUCUGUUGUUGAAUAUUGGCCAGUACAUGUUUGGAUAAAGCACACCAAACCAAUACCAACAUGGUUCCACAUGGAGAGAUUUAAUGGGAGAAUGAGACAAGGAGAAGGGGUGAGAGAAAGAAGAGAAAAGAAACGAGAGAAGGGGGGGAGGGCAGAAGAAGUCUGCCUUUUAUUUGGAAUGUGGUGUAACUAUUCCCAGGCAGAGUUGGGAAUUGAACCAACGGAAUACUGGAAAUGUAUGGCCAUUGCCAUGGCAACAGUAACCACAUGGUGUCUCCGUUGGAGAAAUGGAUAAAGUUUCAAACUGCAUGGUAGUCUUCACUGUGUGUGUAGGAAUGAGGACAAAGUGAGGAAACCAUAUCCAGCACUAGCUCCUGCCUAGGACGGAUGGGGAGUAGGAGCCAAGAAGAUGUUUCGUAUCUGUACCCACAGCGUUUGGACUGACCUGUUACUCAUCACACCUUAUCCCAUCCUGACUGACACACAGCCCACUGUCCUCUGAAAGGGAAACUUGAGCUCAGACAAGGGCUGCCAGAGGUUUUUAUGUCUGAUGCUGAAGCCUGUGUCCCUGUGUAAGGACAGAGCUGGGAUCAACGGUUGUUGAUCCUGAUGCUGCAACUUCAGAUCUUGUCAAUGGUUCAACCAUCUGGAGCUCACAGAAUCCAAGAGUCAGUAUGGGGUUUUACCUGAUGAGAAAGUGGUACCUGUCUUGUAAAACGAUUCUUUGCCUAAGA